rnacentral:snoRNA from 1 species
GAUUUAGGAGUUUAAGUUGAAAAAGUUAGCUAAUGAAUCAAAACUUAAUAUACAAAUAUCGGAACUUAAUAGUGGC